rnacentral:rRNA from 1 species
UACGAGUGGUGCAAGCGUUAUUCGGAAUUAUUGGGCGUAAAGGGUGCGCAGACGGCUUGUUAAGUCACUUGUUAAAUUCUCCGGCCUAACCGGAGGCGAGCAUGUGAAACUAGCAGGCUAGAGGGUGAGAGAGAGAAGUGGAAUUCUCGGAGUAGCGGUAAAAUGCGUAGAUCUCGAGAGGAACACCAAUGGCGAAGGCAGCUUCUUGGCUCACUCCUGACGUUCAGGCACGAAAGCGUGGGGAGCAAACAGG